GGUGACGAGGAAGACAUCAAGGAAGGUAACUCUGCAACGGGCUGGGCCAUAAAGGCCACGUGUAUUUUCCUGGCCGCUUGUCUACUGUGUGGGGCAGUCUUCUUCAUCGCAAAGAAAUAUGGAUUUGGGAAAAAUCAACGACAAGCGGAGAAGAAACCCCCAGAGCCCCCAAACCGCAAUAUUCCACCCGGUCCCGGAGGUCAAGGUCAGCGGAAGUCGGAUUCCGAUGUUGAGUCCAACAAAGGGGGUGCGUCACGGAAAGCCAGCAACAAGGGAGUGGCUCCAGACGUACUGCCAGUAACCACAAAACCUCUCUCGAAAUGCGCUUCACUCCCAACGGCUGUAUCCAUAGAAAAUGAAAAC